rnacentral:rRNA from 1 species
GAUGAACGCUGGCGGCGUGCCUAAUACAUGCAAGUCGAGCGAACAGACGAGGAGCUUGCUCCUCUGACGUUAGCGGCGGACGGGUGAGUAACACGUGGAUAACCUACCUAUAAGACUGGGAUAACUUCGGGAAACCGGAGCUAAUACCGGAUAAUAUAUUGAACCGCAUGGUUCAAUAGUGAAAGACGGUUUUGCUGUCACUUAUAGAUGGAUCCGCGCCGCAUUAGCUAGUUGGUAAGGUAACGGCUUACCAAGGCGACGAUGCGUAGCCGACCUGAGAGGGUGAUCGGCCACACUGGAACUGAGACACGGUCCAGACUCCGACGGGAGGCAGCAGUAGGGAAUCUUCCGCAAUGGGCGAAAGCCUGACGGAGCAACGCCGCGUGAGUGAUGAAGGUCUUCGGAUCGUAAAACUCUGUUAUUAGGGAAGAACAAAUGUGUAAGUAACUAUGCAAGUCUUGACGGUACCUAAUCAGAAAGCCACGGCUAACUACG